rnacentral:lncRNA from 1 species
GCCCAUAAAAGGCGGCUUCUCCAGAGAUGCUCUGGCAACUCAGCUCCUGCGCGCCUGCCGCUGGCCGCUCCCUUCGCCUCUCCCGCCCCGCCCCUUGGAUACCUCGGCUGGGCCAGAGGGCGGCCUUGGGGAGGGGGGAUACCGAAGGUUUCUGGAAGCUGAGAACUCCUGCCCCUUAUCCUUCUAGGCCUCUUCAGUUUCCAAAGCAUUGCAUCUGCCGCCCUGUGGCCGCUGCUUCCAGCGUUCAGUGGUCUGGCCCAGGAGGGCAGCAAGUAGAGCUUCCAGCCUGAGAUUUGCGAGCUGGGGAGGGAUGAGAGAGGCUGAGACCUUUUUUCCUGGAGUCCUUUUUCUAGGAGAUUAGAGUCAUCUGGAAAGGGAAAAGAGAAUGGGGAGAAGACUCUACCCCACAAAGGCUAGUGAUUAUUCGGCAAAGCCAGUUACGGCAUCCUUCACACCAACAAUAGCCGCUGAGCGCCGCCGAGGCCUGGAGUGCCUGGGCGGAGACUUCGCUGCCAGCGUAGUGUUCUGAUUGAAAUCAGCAAUAUGAAAGUCACACCCUGUUUAUCUUUAUGACCAAAAUAACACCCAAAUAAAAAUUAUAAAAAUUAAAAUUUCAACGGUGCUCAUUAAUGCAUCUUGCAAAAGGGCAAAUAAGAUGCUGGAAAUGCUGUGAUAUGGAAUUUGCAGCUGAGGGAUACUCCUUUCUGUAGCUUCGAAGCGCCUUAAUGAAUUAAGCACAAAAAGACCAAUCUAGGCCGAUUGUCCAGUUCAUUUCUCUGCGCCUCUACCUCUGACUGUAGGUGGACUGUACAGAGGUAUAUCCCACCGUUAGACUUCGGGUCGGACAAGUGGGCCUGGCGCAGGACCGGCUCCCGGGACGGGAGGGGCCGGUCGAGCAGCCUGGCUGGCCGGGGCGGGGAAGCGGAACCCGCCAAGCUGGGCAAGAGGAGGGCGUCGAGCUACCGGCUGCGAGCUGGGUAGGGCGACGCCCGCGGGGACACAUUUCUGUCCGAGUGAGCUGCUAUAGUUUGGGAUAUGAAAUCACUGAGGGAGCGGUGGAAUUCGAAGAAUCUGCGUUUUCCUCUGCUGGGUCCUGCAGAGGAGAGAGGGGAGGGAGAGAAAAAGAGGGAGAUGAGAAUCUCCACUUCGAUCUCCUU